rnacentral:misc_RNA from 1 species
AACCUAGCACACCUGCGGUGUGUACCUGCGGAAGGAUCAUUACCGAGUUUACAACUCCCAAACCCCUGUGAACAUACCUAUACGUUGCCUCGGCGGAUCAGCCCGCGCCCCGUAAAACGGGACGGCCCGCCCGAGGACCCCUAAACUCUGUUUUUAGUGGAACUUCUGAGUAAAACAAACAAAUAAAUCAAAACUUUUAACAACGGAUCU